GAUGAACGCUGGCGGCGUGCCUAAUACAUGCAAGUCGAGCGAACAGACGAGGAGCUUGCUCCUCUGAUGUUAGCGGCGGACGGGUGAGUAACACGUGGAUAACCUACCUAUAAGACUGGGAUAACUUCGGGAAACCGGAGCUAAUACCGGAUAACAUGUUGAACCGCAUGGUUCAACAGUGAAAGACGGUCUUGCUGUCACUUAUAGACGGAUCCGCGCCGCAUUAGCUAGUUGGUAAGGUAACGGCUUACCAAGGCAACGAUGCGUAGCCGACCUGAGAGGGUGAUCGGCCACACUGGAACUGAGACACGGUCCAGACUCCUACGGGAGGCAGCAGUAGGGAAUCUUCCGCAAUGGGCGAAAGCCUGACGGAGCAACGCCGCGUGAGUGAAGAAGGUCUUCGGAUCGUAAAACUCUGUUAUUAGGGAAGAACAAAUGUGUAAGUAACUAUGCACGUCUUGACGGUACCUAAUCAGAAAGCCACGGCUAACUACGUG
rnacentral:rRNA from 1 species